CCUACGGGGGGCAGCAGUGAGGAAUCUUGCGCAAUGGGGGAAACCCUGACGCAGCAACGCCGCGUGAGUGAGGAAGGCCUUCGGGUCGUAAAGCUCUGUCAGAUGGGAAGAAAUGGGUGGGGGCUAAUAUCGUCCAUCCUUGACGGUACCAUCAGAGGAAGCACCGGCUAACUCCGUGCCAGCAGCCGCGGUAAUACGGGGGGUGCAAGCGUUGUUCGGAAUCAUUGGGCGUAAAGCGCGCGCAGGCGGCUUGGUAAGUCAGAUGUGAAAUCCCUGGGCUUAACCCAGGAAGUGCAUUUGAUACUGCCUCGCGAGAGUACGGGAGAGGAAAGUGGAAUUCCUGGUGUAGAGGUGAAAUUCGUAGAUAUCAGGAGGAACACCGGUGGCGAAGGCGACUUUCUGGCCCGAUACUGACGCUCAGGCGCGAAAGCGUGGGGAGCAAACAGGAUUAGAUACCCCAGUAGUCG
rnacentral:rRNA from 1 species